GAUGAACGCUAGCGGCAGGCUUAAUACAUGCAAGUCGAGGGGCAGCACGAAUAGCAAUAUUUGGUGGCGACCGGCAAACGGGUGCGGAACACGUACGCAACCUUCCCAAAACUGGUGAAUAGCCCUCCGAAAGGAGGAUUAAUACACCGUACCAUAAUGAGGUGGCAUCACUUUAUUAUUAUAGGCAGCAAUGUCGGUUUUGGAUGGGCGUGCGCCUGAUUAGGUAGUUGGCGGGGUAACGGCCCACCAAGCCUUCGAUCAGUAACUGGUGUGAGAGCACGACCAGUCACACGGGCACUGAGACACGGGCCCGACUCCUACGGGAGGCAGCAGUAAGGAAUAUUGGUCAAUGGACGCAAGUCUGAACCAGCCAUGCCGCGUGCAG
rnacentral:rRNA from 1 species